rnacentral:rRNA from 1 species
GAUGAACGCUGGCGGCGUGCCUAAUACAUGCAAGUCGAGCGAAUGGAUUAAGAGCUUGCUCUUAUGAAGUUAGCGGCGGACGGGCGAGUAACACGUGGGUAACCUGCCCAUAAGACUGGGAUAACUCCGGGAAACCGGGGCUAAUACCGGAUAACAUUUUGAACCGCAUGGUUCGAAAUUGAAAGGCGGCUUCGGCUGUCACUUAUGGAUGGACCCGCGUCGCAUUAGCUAGUUGGUGAGGUAACGGCUCACCAAGGCAACGAUGCGUAGCCGGCCUGAGAGGGUGAUCGGCCACACUGGGACAGGGAAACGGCCCAGACUCCUACGGGAGGCAGCAGUAGGGAAUCUUCCGCAAUGGACGAAAGUCUGACGGAGCAACGCCGCGUGAGUGAUGAAGGCUUUCGGGUCGUAAAACUCUGUUGUUAGGGAAGAACAAGUGCUAGUUGAAUAAGCUGGCACCUUGACGGUACCUAACCAGAAAGCCACGGCUAACUACGUGCCAGCCGCCGCCGUAA